GGCCGCGUGGCCCAAUGGUAGGGCGUUGGUUUUCGGCACCAAAGAUUGCGCGUUCGAGUCGCGUCGUGGUCG